UACGUAGGGUGCGAGCGUUAAUCGGAAUUACUGGGCGUAAAGCGUGCGCAGGCGGUUUUGUAAGUCAGAUGUGAAAUCCCCGGGCUUAACCUGGGAACUGCGUUUGAAACUACAAGGCUAGAGUGUGGCAGAGGGGGGUGGAAUUCCACGUGUAGCAGUGAAAUGCGUAGAGAUGUGGAGGAACACCGAUGGCGAAGGCAGCCCCCUGGGUUAACACUGGCGCUCAGGCACGAAAGCGUGGGGAGCAAACAGG
rnacentral:rRNA from 1 species